rnacentral:tRNA from 1 species
GGGGAGAUACCCAAGUGGCCAAAGGGGGCAGACUGUAAAUCUGCUGGCGGACGCCUUCGGGGGUUCAAAUCCUCCUCUCCCCACCA